rnacentral:rRNA from 1 species
AACGAACGCUGGCGGCAUGCCUAACACAUGCAAGUCGAACGAGACCUUCGGGUCUAGUGGCGCACGGGUGCGUAACGCGUGGGAACCUGCCCUUAGGUUCGGAAUAACUCCCCGAAAGGGGUGCUAAUACCGGAUAAUGUCUUCGGACCAAAGAUUUAUCGCCUUUGGAUGGGCCCGCGUUGGAUUAGCUAGUUGGUAGGGUAAAAGCCUACCAAGGCGACGAUCCAUAGCUGGUCUGAGAGGAUGAUCAGCCACACUGGGACUGAGACACGGCCCAGACUCCUACGGGAGGGAGCAGUGGGGAAUACUGGACAAGGGGCGAAAGCCUGAUCCAGCAAUGCCGCGGGAGUGAUGAAGGCCUUAGGGUUGUAAAGCUCUUUUACCCGGGAUGAUAAUGACAGUACCGGGAGAAUAAGCUCCGGCUAACUCCGUG